GACGAACGCUGGCGGCGUGCUUAACACAUGCAAGUCGAACGGAAAGGCCCUGCUUUUGUGUUGUUCUCGAUUGGCGAACGGGUGAGUAACACGUGAGUAACCUGCCCUUGACUUUGGGAUAACUUCAGGAAACUGGGGCUAAUACCGGAUAUGAGCUCCUGCUGCAUGGUGGGGGUUGGAAAGUUUCGGCGGUUGGGGAUGGACUCGCGGCUUAUCAGCUUGUUGGUGGGGUAGUGGCUUACCAAGGCUUUGACGGGUAGCCGGCCUGAGAGGGUGACCGGCCACAUUGGGACUGAGAUACGGACCAGACUCCUACGGGAGGCAGCAGUGGGGAAUAUUGCACAAUGGGCGGAAGCCUGAUGCAGAAACGCCGCGUGCGGGAUGACGGCCUUCGGGUUGUAAACCGCUUUCGCCUGUGACGAAGCGUGAGUGACGGUAAUGGGUAAAGAAGCACCGGCUAACUACGUG
rnacentral:rRNA from 1 species